rnacentral:rRNA from 1 species
GACAGAGGAGCCAAGCGUUGUCCGGAUUGACUGGGCGUAAAGCGCACGCAGGCGGAUGUGCGCGUGGGGUGUGAAAUCUGGCCGCUUAACGGCCAGGCGCCAUCCCAUACGGCGCGUCUGGAGUGAUGCAGAGGUCGAUGGAAUUGCCGGUGUAGUGGUGAAAUGCGUAGAGAUCGGCAGGAACACCCAGGGGGAAACCAGUCGACUGGGCAUCUACUGACGCUGAGGUGCGAGAGCGUGGGGAGCGAACCGGG